rnacentral:rRNA from 2 species
AGGUGCGAUCAUACCAGCACUAAUGCACCGGAUCCUGCGAGAGUAGUACUAGGAUGGGUGACAUCCUGGGAAGUCCUCGUGUUGCACCUC